CAUCACCUUGUGCACUCCUAGAGCUGG
rnacentral:piRNA from 1 species